rnacentral:rRNA from 1 species
CCUACGGGGGGCUGCAGUGGGGAAUAUUGGACAAUGGGCGAAAGCCUGAUCCAGCCAUGCCGCGUGUGUGAAGAAGGCCUUCGGGUUGUAAAGCACUUUCAGUGGGGAAGAAAGCCUUGGGGCUAAUACCCUCGAGGAAGGACAUCACCCACAGAAGAAGCACCGGCUAACUCCGUGCCAGCAGCCGCGGUAGUACGGAGGGUGCGAGCGUUAAUCGGAAUUACUGGGCGUAAAGCGCGCGUAGGCGGUCUGAUAAGCCGGUUGUGAAAGCCCCGGGCUCAACCUGGGAACGGCAUCCGGAACUGUCAGGCUAGAGUGCAGGAGAGGAAGGUAGAAUUCCCGGUGUAGCGGUGAAAUGCGUAGAGAUCGGGAGGAAUACCAGUGGCGAAGGCGGCCUUCUGGACUGACACUGACGCUGAGGUGCGAAAGCGUGGGUAGCAAACAGGAUUAGAUACCCGAGUAGUC